GAUGAAGAACGUAGCGAAAUGCGAUAAGUAAUGUGAAUUGCAGAAUUCAGUGAAUCAUCGAAUCUUUGAACGCACAUUGCGCCCUCUGGUAUUCCGGGGGGCAUGCCUGUUCGAGCGUCAUUAUAACCACUCAAGCUUUCGCUUGGUAUUGGGGCUCGCGGUUCCGCGGCCCCUAAAAUCAGUGGCGGUGCCUGUCGGCUCUACGCGUAGUAAUACUCCUCGCGAUUGAGUCCGGUAGGUCUAAUUGCCAGCAACCCCCAAUUUUUACAGGUUGACCUCGGAUCAGGUAGGGAUACCCGCUGAACUUAAGCAUAUCAAUAAGCGGAGGA
rnacentral:misc_RNA from 1 species